rnacentral:rRNA from 1 species
CAAUAGCGUAUAUUAAAGUUGUUGCAGUUAAAAAGCUCGUAGUUGAAUUUCUGUCAGGAGUGACCGGGCCUUUGGAUGAACUUCCAUUGUUUUUUGCUCUGUUUGUCAUCUCUAGACAUCCUGAAAUAUUUUUUAAAAAUAUUUCUCUUUUACUGUUAGCAAAAUAGAGUGUUCCAAGCAAAGCGUAGUUUUGAAUACAUUAGAAUGGAAUAAUAAGAUAGGACUUUGGUGCUAUUUUGUUGGUUUGCACACCAAGGUAAUGAUUAAUAGGGACAGUUGGGGGUAUUCGUAUUUAAUUGUCAGAGGUGAAAUUCUUGGAUUUAUGAAAGACGAACUACCGCGAAAGCAUUUACCAAGGAUGUUUUCAUUAA